rnacentral:lncRNA from 1 species
AGAAGUUGUCCAGGGCUCCCUGAGGGAGGCCAGCACAAGAGCUCUGCCAUAAAAGGACAUUGGACAGAAGUGAAGAGUCCAAUCAGAAACUCUUUUUGAGAGACUGAACGCAAAGCAUUCAGAGAGUCAGCAGGCUGGAGAGGCCAAGACACACACACGAAGAAGGCAAUUGAGAGCUGUACUAGCCUGGCAUGCAGACAGCAGCUUUAGAAUCAGAUCUGCCUUCUGGCGGCUUCCCACCUAGGAGCCAUGGGACCUUUGUGAAGUCACCAAUUGUGCUGUGGAUGCUUCAUUUGUGAAGGAGAACAGGACUGCCUUAUGAGGAAACUGAGGUACAGAUGGGAAACUUGCUCAAGUUCACACAGCAAUUAAGUGAUCAAGUCCAAGAGCAAAACCAGGCAGGCUGGCUCCAGAGCUCACGAUAGUCCACCACUGCUUUCCACCAUCACUACGGAAUCAAGUCCAUGAGGAUACUCACCUUAUGUCAGUUGCCUAAGUUGGAAAUUAUAGAAUCUUCAAAUUGGAAGGGACGUUAUCAUCCAAGAUUUCAACUUUCUACUCACUGCAAAAUCCCUUCUGGAACUUCCCAGAUUGAUGAAUUUUCAUCAGCUCUGCUUGAGUACUCCCAGUGACUUGGAAAAAAAACACUGUAAUAUGGAUAUGAAAUAUAAACUGUUCAUGGAUAAAUUAUUGCAUAAUAAAAACAUGCCUAAUGGCUACACUCCCCUAA